rnacentral:rRNA from 1 species
UACGUAGGUGGCGAGCGUUGUCCGGAAUUACUGGGUGUAAAGGGCGUGUAGGCGGGGGCUCAAGUCGGAUGUGAAAUACCGUGGCUCAACCACGGGGCUGCAUCCGAAACUGUGCCUCUUGAGUACCGGAGAGGAAAGUGGAAUUCCCAGUGUAGCGGUGAAAUGCGUAGAUAUUGGGAGGAACACCAGUGGCGAAGGCGGCUCUCUGGACGGGUACUGACGCUGAGGUGCGAAAGCGUGGGGAGCAAACAGG